rnacentral:tRNA from 1 species
GGGCGGUUAACUCAGCGGUAGAGUGCCUCCUUGACAGGGAGGAAGUCACAGAUUCGAAUUCUGUACCGCCCA